UACGGCAGCUUUAGGGAGGUGCUCUGAGACCCGAAACUAGACUCGACUUUAACAGACACAGACGACCCUGAAGAUGGAAACGUUUUCUUCCAAAUUGUGCUGCACGUUUUUGGCGAGAGCAUGGGGCUGUGCGGCGUCCCCUCCCUGGCGCCCACCUGUGCCCUGCACACUGGCCUGCACUGUGGUGAUCUCGCUUGGCCCCCACCUGAUUCCCGACAUACAGCAGAGGAACCUUAGGCUCAGGUGGAACAGCCUCAACUGAUUCUGUCCCUGAACUUCCGUACACAGCCCUGGAGUCGUCUUAGAGCCAUGAUUUAUUUAACUGUUCUUUCAUUUUACAGAACAUAAAAUGUAUUGUUUCCAACUUUUUUCCUAUGGUAAAUAAUACUAAAGUAAAUAUCUCUGUGCAUGAAUCUUUUUGUAUAUGUUGGAAUAUCCUUAAGAUAAGGCCCCAGAACUAAAAGUACCCUGUCAAAAGGUGAGCAUUUCCGGUUCCCCUGCUGUGCUUUGCUGCGUUGUUCUCUCCUGCUGCAACGUUCUCACUCCACAAUCCUGGGGCAGGGAGGGGAGGCCCAGCUGAGUUUGGAUCAUAAUCCUGAAAGACACA
rnacentral:lncRNA from 10 species